AAACUGUUGGCUGACUAGUAAAUGCAACACAUUUUACUAUUAAUUCUUUGUGGUUUGCAAAACUUUAAAACAUGGCCAUCACAUUUGUUUCACAAGAAGCAGAAUUUUUCCAGCACAGUCAACACCAAUAUUUGAAAUUUAACUCUAUUGCUGCUUGCCCAGAAAGUUAAAUUGACUGUAUCACCUUAAAGCCUUUUGGAAGUUUCCUCCUUAAGAAAAAGGCUGCCUUCCAGUAAUGUGGGGUCUGUUUUAUUAAAAUUCUAUCUGAACUUUGUGUAGCUAUGGUCCCUCCAGUGAGUCAUACAAUAACAAUUCCCAGUUUGUAGCCAGUUCUCCAGAGAGGCAGAAGAAAAACGGAGCUGCUUCCUUUUAAGGGAAUCAGAUCUGUUUGCUGUGAUAAUUUCUUUCCAGUCCUAUUUGAAGACAUUCUCCAUAGCCUAUGAAUUAAGACUUAUACAAAUAUAACUUUUAUUUUGAAGGUAUAUACAUAUACAAGAAUAGAGUACUUUAUUUAACAAAUUUACUUUUCAAUUUGUACAUGCAAUGACUUACAUAUGUUUGCUUUGUAUUGAAAUGUUAUGUUCCUUUCCUUUGGCAAAAUUAGGUUAUUAUCUAAAGAUGUCUUACGUUUUAUAUUACCCCAUCUUUAGUUUAUAUAAGCAUGCAAUGUUGUUCUAUAAAACUAUAUGACAAGCUAUCUGCACUAAUCAUGAGCUUAUUACUCAAAGGCUGGAUUCAAAUAGCAGUGACUUGGAAGAAGAAUUGCUAAGCUUUAGUGCAUAGAAGUUUGUGAGAAGCUUUUUGCAAAAAUUUACUUAGUUAUAACAGUUCUCAUGGUUAAUCUCUGCAAAUAGUUUUAGACAGUCAACAUUUUUUAAUGUAAUUUUUUGCCUUCUUUGCACUUAUGAAAGGGGCAGAACAGCGUUACAGGUUGUAAAUACACCACUUGAUCCAACCUAUUGUUGUUUAGAUUCCACCAUCAGUUGUAAAUAUUAGGUGCAGCUUCAUCAACAUUUGGAUCAAGAUCAUGGUGUUUUAUUACAACUCCAUGAAAAUAUAAGAACUUUGCUAGUAUAUGCACAUAGCUUUCAGGGAAAGUAAACACAGCAUCCAAGGAAAGCUGAACCUCAGCUGUUGCUGACUUCCAAUAAAUAAUAAAUAAAUACCCCAUUUUUUAGGAAAACCACCAUAUAUAAGUAGUAUUAAAAUAUUAUUGAUUUAUUAUCUUAUUUAUAUUCCACCUUUAUUAUUAUUAUUAUUAUUAUUAUAAGCAACUCAAUGCAGUAAAUAUAUUUUAUACUCUUUGUUCCUUCUAUUUUACCCACAACAACAACCCUAUGAGAUGAGUUGCUCUGAGAGAGAGUGUCUGAUCUAAGGUCACCAAGUUGGCUUUCAUGGCUAAGGCAGGACUAGAUCUCAAGGUCGCCUGGUUUCUAGCCUAGUGCCUUAAACACUAGACCAAUCUGAUAUGGAAUCUGUAGUCACCUGCAUUAUGGUCUUCCCAGAAUGUUUGUGGGUUCUGAUAUAAAAUGUACAAUGAGUCUGGGGAUAUUAAUAUAACAAUUUCUUUUGACUUUCUUCUGAUCCGUAAGGAAUAAGUAACAACUUAUAUUAAACAGUGUUCUUACCAAGUUUGUAGCAUAGCAGUUACAAAACCCACUGUAUUCCUUAAUAAAUUAUCUUUUCCUUUUAAUUUCUGGUGUUCCUCCAGUUUUGAUGAGUGAGGGUGGAUUUGAACCGGAGUUUCCCCUUAAGCACUAUACGCUUUUGGUGCCUGUAGCUGAUUCUUCUUGUGCUUCUCUUCAGGCUUUCUCCAUCACUGCUUUGUUGCUGAGGGUUUCAGGGCUCAACGGUCAGAGGCUUAGAGAAUGAAUGUGCUACCACAACUGCCACUGCUGACAUUGCCAGGACAUGGUGAUGAAAUAUUCGGAGUGUGGGACAGACUAUCAUUUGGUAUUGCCAAAAUGGUUCCUUGGGAAAAAAUGAGCUUGGAGUAAAAGAAGAAUCCAAAAGAAACUACAGAAGAACUGCAGAAAUAGAGCCAUGUACUACCUGACUCCAGAAUUCUGAAAGACACCAAACUUUUAAAGAAAGAAAAAAGGCAACAUAGGGUCCAGGGGUGUCCAAGGGCUGUCCAACCUUAAUAUCUUCAAGGCUUGUGGACUUCAAUUCCCAGAAUUGGCUGUCUGGGAAAUUCUGGGGGUUCAAAUUAAUCUGGUUAACUAGUUAGUCUAGUCCAACUUCUGGUUCAGUGCCCAAACUCAAACCAUGACUGAUAAUGAUAUAUAAAUCUAACUAUUAAAUAAACUCAUUUGAGGUUGCUUUGUCCUGGAAUGGCAGAUUUAAAACUCAACUAAAAGUCUGUAUCAUACCUAUGUAUCAUCCCAUAAUGCUGAGGAAAAUGAGAGAUUCUAACCCUUUUCUUGGAUGGAUCACAUAAUAUUUUCCAUAUGAUCGGUAUCAUCCAAGAUAUCAAGACAAAUUACAUGUGAUCAGUGGUAGAUCUCAGGAGACCCAUGAAGGAAAGUUCUUCACAGUUUUUUGUUGGAUGAUUUUUUUUCAAGCCUACAAUAAAAUACUUUUCAUGUUAAAAAUCACAUUUUAGUUAAAAAAAUCUCUUAUCUUUAAGACAGCCUCUUAUGAUCUUAAUAAUAUUAAAUACUGAAUUGCUAAAAAUGAUGAAAACAAAGUUCUUUUAGUAACUGAAAGCAAAAAGUGAUGAAAAUAAUCAAAAUCUGUGCCAAAAUAAAAAUGUCCAAGCAAUGGAUUGAAUCCAACUUAGUAUCCUUAGAGUAUGUUUAUUAAAAUUAAUGGACUUAGAAGAAUCAUGGUUAAUUGAAAUUUAACUGAUUAUUCUAAGUCUGGAUCAAAGUAUUUUUUCUUUAUAUCUAAAUAUUUGCAGGAUCUUUCUUGAAAUGUUUUAUUGAUAAUUUCUGUUGUGUCUUAUAUGUCAUGAUAUCAUUAAGAAAACAAGUUCAGAAGUUCACACAAUGUGCUCAGAUCUGCCUUAUUCUUAUUGUAUAAAUUUUGGUUCACAAGAGUGUAACAAACAGAAAAUACUUGGCAAAAAUAUUCAGACAGGAAAUGUUAAACUAAGACACAAGACAUUUAACUCAUACAUUCCCGUUUUCCCUCUUCUAGUCCUUUAGCAUACUAUAGUAGACAUUAAAAAAUAAGUGGCCUUUCAAUUUGUAAACUGGUUUGCAAAGUGGGAAAAAAAGACUUUUAUCUAUUUGGAAAUAUAUUGUUGCUUGCACAGUCAGCCUGAUGUUUAGAUUGGAUUUGUAUUGUACUUGUAUUUCAAUUCCUACAUUCACAGAUUAUUAUUUAAGUCUUAUAUAUAAAGAUCAUGCAUUAUGACUUAAGACUUGAUACAUUCAAUGUUAGUUACACCUCAAUAAUCUUUGCAAUAGCUAUUUUAAAAAGCUGAAAUCUUCAUUCAAAUCUGCUGUUGUUCCAAAAUAAAAUUUAUAUACAAAAUACUUAUUGAUGACAUUGUUUUGAUAUUAGUGGACUGGUUUCAUUAAUCAUUUUUUGUCAAUGUUUAAAAAGAAUUUGCUAUUCGUUUUGAUUAUGCUAUAGGAAGAUUUCAAAGCAAUUAGAAUUAUUAUAUGAUCCUUAUUAUUUUGUUUUUAUCUAUAGAAUACAUACCAUCAACAAUAUUUUAAAACUGUUAGUUUGCAUAAUAUGAGACAAUGGCCUCAUGGAUGAGCUGCACAGAUGAAGAGUAUUUUUGGUUGCACAGUCAGCCAGAUAUUUAGAUUUGAUUCAGCAUUUUUAUCUAACCUAGGAUAAGUAGAUAGUGUUAAAGGUAUAAGACAUACUGUAAGCUGUUGCAAGUAAAGCUUCCAUUGUAUUUUUGUGUUUUGUGUUUCUCUUCUAUUCUGCUCUCUCUAGGUACUGCAAUAUCCACUAUCUUUAUGUUCUUAUUGGCAAUUGUUAAAUCUGAGUGUAAUGGGCAAUUGUCAAGUCUGGGGUGUAAUGCUUAUUUGUCCGAAUUCUAAAGUCCCUAGAGCAUUUAUCAUUUUCUAUUACUUUGUCUAAUUUAUAGUCCAUCAGUUCUUGCUUGCUGAUAUUACAAUGCACCAUUGUUGAUACUUUGACAUGCUCUUGCUUGUAGUCAGUCUGUGUGAUCAUCUUGCAGUAGCUAACUCGGCAGUCCACUGCAACAUUUGUCUAUUCAGCAAUGUU